rnacentral:lncRNA from 1 species
UUAAAAAUAAAAAAUUAUAUUCCUACGAGUUAUUGAAGCUGACUUUGAUUAUAAUAUACAGUAGAGGUUAAAAUGGAACAGUGUAAGUCAACUCCAUUAUAUUGCAGAACUCUUCUAGCUUGCUAUAUCUGUUGCUAGUAAUGCAUAACUUGACCCCAACCAAGAAAAAACCAAUUUUUCAGUUUAAAAAAAACAUUUUUGUCUCUGUCAAACUUAGUCACUUGGAUUUGGAUACCUAAAUUAAUAUAAAACUUAUACUAUUAUUAGUAAUGAAAGCUUGAGUCUCUGAUUAUAAUAAUCAGUUAGCACUUGGGUCUGAUUGGUAGAUUUUAAUAAAAACGAAUUGCUUCGUACUCAGAUGUCGGUUCUUGACCUGUUCAAUCUGAUAUAGGAAUAUGAUAUUAGUGAUUAAAUCUUGACUUUGAUCAAAAGAGUUCAGAAUCUAAGCACCUUAUCACUAGCAGUGACCUGGUCUCUCAGCAGGCAUUUAUAUGAAGCGAAAUGUUCAAUUCUAAGUUCCAAGGUCAAAGGUUGCUAUGCAAACUGAAUAGACUUAUGACAUGGUAUUGAUCUGUUUUGAAUAAGGAUAUAUGAGCCUUUUUGGGUAAAUACUAAUGAUAUGGUAUUGAUAUGUUUUCGGCUAAUGUCAAAAGGUCUCAUACUAAUGAAAUUAUUUGACUACUUGUUCGUAAAAUGAUUGUUUCUUGUCUGGUAGGAUUUGGGUGUUGUGAUUCUGCAUACAAGAAAGUGAGGAAGUGAAAGAUAAAAUGAUUGAAUCAGUUUCUUCAAAUACAAUAUGCGCAUAGAAAGAAAGGUUUGGUUUUGAUGAAUAGUGAUUAAAAUUCUUAAAAACAGAUGUCUGUUGAUUGUCACCCAUUGUAAAUUCUAAGUGCAUGAGUGUUGACAAAAGAUUAAGUUCAAUCUUCUUCUUUUUUUUAAAAGAAAAAUAAUUUAAUAAUGAAAAGUCAUACGGCAUCUACAGAUAUAAUUGAAAUUGAACAAACACAUAAUCAUAUCGCUGUUAAAUCCUUCCUUCUUCGGUAGGCAACUAAGCGAUUUUUGAAGAGAUAUGUACGUGCUCUAAUACUUUCAAUAUUGUUUUGAGCAAUCGAUCAUAAAUGCAUCACCAUACAAACCUUUAUUACUGAAUCAAAACCAUGAAAAUCUCGCGGAUCUGUAAUCCCGAACAUGAUGAACAAUACAAAACCCACACAAAAACCAAACUCUCACGAGGAGAGACCAAACAAAACCCAAAUAAAUUGGGAACUUACUGGAAAAAAACAAGAGAUUAAUUAAUACUCCCUCCUUCCCAUUUUAAUAGUCUUGUUUGUUAAGAAAAAAUUCUCAUAUUAUUUGUCCUUCUUCUUUGUCCAAUACAAAUUUUAUACAAGUUUCAAUGUUAACAUUUAUUAGCUCACACGAUUUUCAUGAUUUACUAUGCAAACUUACUCAUACAAUCAGGGACGUAUCCAGGAUCAGCAACUUAUGGGGGCAAUGUAUAUACUCCGUGUGUCCCUCUCAUUUUUUUACAUUUUUUAAGACGCCUUCCAUAACUUUUUUCUAGAAAUUUUUCUUUUUUAUAUAAAAAUUAGAUAACAAAUAUAUAUUCAAAAGAAAAAAAUACAAAAUAAUUUAUCAAAUUAUAUCUUAUGAGAGCAUUAGAAUCUGUUUUUGGAUUGUGUUUCUGCUGAAUACACUGCUGCUUGGCCAUUCAGUUCUUUAAAAAAAUAAAAUGAAGCUUUGAAGAGUUGAACACUGGCAAAUACAUUAAUAUACCAACACAAGAACCAUGGGGGCAAUCCUUACUUGCUGAAAAGUUAGUAGUACUAACUUAUAAAAUCUACGCAGGGCACUGGGGGCAAGUACCCCCACUGCCCCCGGUGUAGAUACGUCCCUGCAUACAAUCAUAUGCUUCAUGUAUUCAGUAAUCUUUCUGAUUCUAUUUUAAGAGUUUACUAGCUUAUCUGUUACACAUGGUACUGGAAAUGUACUUAGCUACAUGUACUUGUGAAAAACGUUAGUUUAUUGCGUAUAUUUAUGGACAUGUAAUGUAUCUCACCUUGUAUACAGGUCCAAAGCCACCCUCUCCAAGUUUGUUGUCUGGCCAGAAGUUACUUGUGGCAUUUGCAAUGCUUUGGAAGUCGAAUAAUGGCAACUCCAGAUCUUCUUUCUCAGUUCUGGUCAAGGCAACACUUUCCAAAUUCAGUUUGAAGCUUUCUGCAAUGAUUGAAGGGCAACAAAUGCACAUUGAUGUAGUGCUGAAAUAAUUUCUACGAAAUUUCUGAUUAUUCCCCGAGGAUCCCUUUAUUAUGGUACUAUCGUAUUUACUCGGUGGGAAUUCAAAAUCUUCCUUUCCAAUUAUUAGUACUCCACUGUUUUUGACUUUUUUACAUGUAUUUUAAGGUGUUAGAAAAAUCACAUUUAAACAUAAUUAUUCUUUAUAAAAUUUAUAUCAAUUAAAAGUUUAGAAUCUAAAUUUUUAUCUGAUAUAAGAGUUGAUUUUUUUUAUUGAGUGUAGAUAUUAUUUUUUUACACCUCAAUAUACGUGUAAAAAAGUUGAACAUCAGCUAAAAUGGGACGAGAAUAGUAAAUAAUUACCUCUUUCUGCAGCUUUUUCUUCUUGUUUACUGGAAGAAAUAUUCCGCCAAGCAGUACUACUGCUAGUAUGGCUAAAAUGAGAAUGAACUCUAGCAUCCACUUUGCUCUGCGACUCUUUACUGCAUUAGUCAAAAUAUUUAACUUCCAAAGAAUACACCAUCAAAAAGCAAAUAGCUGAGGUACUAAUUUUAUAGAGCAAGAGUUGUUGUACAAAGAGUGAAGACACGAAGUAUUCACGAAGGUAGUCUUACCUAAUUCAGACGAAGGCAUUCUUACAUAUAUAUCUUGUCCAUCUUCAGAAUAGUCUCUAAUAUCAAUUAGCUUAGUAAACCAUAAGACACAUACAUGUCCACCUCUUCUAACAUCUGCAUUUGCAAAAGCUGUACAAGAACAGUUUUUGAGGCACAAUUUCUCACAUUCUUGAAGGUUCAUAUUCGUGUUAUACCAGGAGUGACGUGUGUCAGGUAACUUCACACCCGAAUAUUGCACAAAACCCUCAUCAGUCCCGCAGACAAAGAUUAUUCUGCCAUUUGUUAUAAUGUUAUUUUUUCUCGAUUUGAACUUACAUCUAAUAUCGCUCCAAUCGUUAGAAAACUUUCCGCCAUUAAAUAUUUUUAAUAUCGACAGUUUGAAACUUACUUUCAAUAAUUUCGAAACCGAAAAAGUUACUUUUAAAACUUCAUUCCAAUAUACUCAAAACGAACCGAAACUUCCUUCCAAUAAUUUCGAAACCGAAAAAAGUAAUUUUAAAAUUUUCUUCCAAUAUAUCCAAACUAAUAAGAUAAUUUUUAUUUUGGAUAUUUAUAAUUUAAAAUUUUCAUAAAAUUAGAAAAAAUAUAACAGAGAAUAUUUUUUUCCCUCAAUUUUUCCACCAUAAAAUUUGUUUUAAUGUUAUUUUUUCUCGAUUUCAAACGUACAUGUAAUAGAUCUCUUCUACUAUUUGGAAAUUUUUCACCAUAAAAUAUUUUUUAAUAUUGACCGUUUGAAAUUCUUUUCUAAUAAUUUCGAAACCGGAAAAAAUAGUGUUGGAACUUUCUUCCAAUACAUUCGAAAUUAAUUGAAACUUCUUUCUAAUAAUUUCGAAACCGAAAAAUAAUGUUGAAACUUUCUUCGAAUAUAUUCAAAACUAAUUAUAACUUCUUUCCAAUAAUUUCGAAACCUAAAGAGGUAGUUUUUAAAACUUUCUUUCAAUAUUCGAAACUAAAAAGAUAAUUUUUAUUUUUGAUAUUUUUAAUGCAAAAAUUUGAGAAAAUUUUGAAACUUCUUCCGAAUAUUGUCAAAACUAAUUGAAACUUCCUUUAAUUAAUUUCGAAACCAAAAAAGUUAUUUUAAAACUUUCUUCCGAUAUAUGAAAUGUCACAUCCCGGUCCCAAAAAAAAAAAUGCUUAUAUAAUACUUUUGAAUGUAUUAAAAUAGUUUCCGGGAUUUUUAGAUUUAACAAAAAUAUUUUGUUUUAGGAUUUAUAAGGAAUUUGCGAAUAGUAAGGUGACCCUAUAAAGGAGAAAGGACAUGAAGGGGUAAAAAUAAAAGUCUCAGAAUAAUUUUUAGAUAUUUUAUAAAUUACCAGAGCGGAGAAAUAGUGAACAGAAGUACGGUCAGAAUUGUAUGAUUUUGCACCGAACUGUGAUUAUAAAAUCCAGUUAUUAGAAAAUAGGUGAAAAUAGAAAAGACACAAAAUGAGCCAAGAAUUUUCCUAGAGUAUCUAAAUAAAUUGUGGAACUCAUUUAUGAAUUUUCGGAAAUUUUACGAAGCUCAAGGAAGUUAAAAUGAAAAGGAAUAAAGGAGCCGGAUACCCAAGAUUUCCGGACUGCAAAAUGACCUUUAAACUAAACCAGCGGAAUUUCAGAAGGAAUACUGAAGAGAAGGUUAGUACGUUUAUGAUCUUUGGAGUCUCUAGAACAUUCCUAUAUUGAGUUUGAAGAAAAAUCUCGAGAUUAAGAGUGGACAGGGAUCAGUGGAAUAAUAUCAGACCGAUACAUCCCUAAGAAAAAGUGAAAUAUUUUCGGACUCCAAAUGAGCUCAUUUUAUAGUCAAAAAUUCCCAAAUAAUAUACUAGGAAUUAUUAUAUCAUCAGAAUUCGUCAACGAGAUCAAGAAUGGGGAGAUUUAAAUUAAGAUUUUAACAGAAGUAAUUAGCUUAAAUGGAUAAUCAUCCAGAAUUCUCCCGAAUGCAUGUUGGCCAAGUCAGGAGGUGACACAUGGCAAUUACUUAAAGAUAACUAACAUUUAACUUUCUAAAACACCGCCCCAUCAUCAGCUUUCAUUUCAUUUGGUCGAAGCAAGCAGUGAAGAUAAAGAAAAAGAAAAAGAAUUCAAGAAAAAUUCAUAGAAAAAGAUUUCUAGCUCAGAUUUUCGUGUUCUAUAGCUUGUUGGAAAGAUCUCUUCAAGACCUUUAAUUCAAGAGGUAUGCUUCUUAUUUUUGUAAUCAUUAGCGUGUUCAAAAAGAUGGUUGAUUCUAGCUAUGAAUAGUGAUGUUCUUGGUGGAAGAAUUUCUUUAAAUCCUAAAAUAAGUACUAGGAGAUUAUGGUGUUAUAAUAAGCAUGUUUACAUGUUUGGAUUAUUGUUUAAGCUUGUAAAGUGGUUGUUCUUGAUUGGGUUUGGAAGGAGGAUCUGGUAUAAGUAUUAUAUGGUGAUUUGGAGGUUGUAUAAUUGUUUGGGCUGAUGAUUAACAUAAGUUUAAUUAGGGAAACGUUAAGAUUAUAGCCGUUAUCAUGGCCAAGUUGAAAUAACAGCCGCUGUUACUGUUCAUCCGAACAGUUUAGUUUCUACUUUAAGAGGUUUAUUUAUAUGGAUGGCUAGAGUUUGAUUAGUAGAUCGCGUGAGCGCUUGAAGCAUGCAAAACGGAUUUACGGUUUAGAAGUUAUGGCCAUUUUAGUACAGGACGCGCAGAAUCCUAGUUUCCGUAAGAAAAUGAACUUUGAGGUUACAAUUCGGCUAGUUCAAAGAUGAUAUAAAUCAUGGAAUAAUUUGAGUAAAUACUAGGGACAAAUUGGGAGGUAUAUGAGUUGGUUUCGUAAGAAAAACUCGAAUGAUUUAUAAGUGAGAAGUGUCAGAACCUAAAGGUGUAAAUAGUAACAAUAAUACGUGAGACGAGAAACAGUUAGUACCAAAUCUCUUUAAAAUGAAAGGAUUGAUAAUAAGACUGAUUAGAAGGGACUUUAAGGGUAGGUAACACGUACACACACUAUGAUAUAGAGUUAUAAAGGAUUUUAAUGAUUAAUUAUGUCCCUUAUAGGUGCACAGAAAGGUGCAGAAGAACUUUAAGGACCAGGAAGUUGUAACUGAGUUGCUGAAGUAAGGUGAGUAUACAUCAACACUACUUAUAUCUAUGUGAUAUGCGAAUUACGUGCUUUUAUAUGCUGAAAGUGAUAUAUUAGAAUAUUGAUUCGACUAUGUGAUUCUAUACAUGACUGGAGUUCUUUGAUGUCAAUGUAGUGUGAUGAUAUAUCAAAGUACAUGUAUAUAUGGAAUGUGUAUUGACCUGUGAUUUCACGAACGAUACAUUAACAUAGAGUCUGCAUAUAGAAUAGGUCAUAUGCACACCCUACAUUCAUUUGAUAGUGAUAAAUUAAAAAGUCAAAGUGACAGUCACUUGUGUAAUGGCCACCUUUAUAUAUGGAAAUGGAACCUACGGGUAAUUACGGAGCAGACUAUAUGUCAGCCAUAGACGGGGCCGACUUGUGUCGGACAUAGACGGAGCCGAUUUCCAUAGUCGGACAUAGACGGAGCUGGCCAGACACACAUGGAUCCUUUGAGGGUACAUGUGGAAACACGGGCAUUAUACAGUGAACUGUUCACAAUAGAAAAAGAAAAAGAAACAGAGAUGCAUGCAUGCAUAGAUACAAGCUCAUACAUUCGUUGCAUACAUGAUUAACAAAAGUAAGUGAUUUAUGAUUAACUAAAGUUGAUGUAUAUUCAUUGAGUUGCGACUCAUGGAAAUCGCUCAAUUUUCCAGGAGAUGAAUAAUUAGUAGUGUGUUUUGUAUGAGUGCUCAGUGGAGAUUGUAGAUAGUGCCUAAGAGACGGUGGUCCAGCAGGAUGCUCCAGACUCCUCCAUCAGCCGAUGCACAUAUAUGUAGUUUGAGAGAUUGUGUUUGUGUACUCUAGACUUACUAAGUGUGCAAGAAAUCACGAAGAUAAAUUUAUGUUUAAAUUCUGAAUAUGUGUGGUGAAUAAGGAUGAUGGAAAUGUAUUGAAAUGAUAUGUUGCUUGGUAAAUGUUGUUGAAGUAGUUGAGAUUUUCUGUUCUGGUGAAGAUCAAGAUAUAGCCAAGCAAUAGCUGAUGGUUAUAUUAUCCACUUAUACAGGAUAAGAUAUUUCAUAAUAUUAUUAAAUUACAUGAUUUUGCUAGAAGUGCAUGAAAAUGAUUAUAUGGUACAAGGGUGUUACAUGAAAACUAAAAAGAUCAUUUUUAUUUUUGAUAUUUUUUAAUGUAAAAAAAAAAUCGGAAAAUUAGAAAAAUAUUAUGGAGUUCUAGAGCAACCACCUCAACGCCCCUCGUUUCUCAUUUGUAUAAGUAUAUUGAUUGUAUAUAUAUUAAAUUCUAACUGUUAACACGCUCAAUUUUUUAUUAAUUAAAGUAGGUGUACACUGCAACUUUCAAUUGAAGAUAGUUCAUUGUUAUAUUUUCAAAAUGCUCACACAUAUUAUAUUAGUCGAUGAAAUAAAUAUAACUAUAACAAAAUUUUUCUUGAAAGUUAAAAAAAUUUAAUAUAUGUAAUUUUUUUGAGGAUAGAUAUAUAAUUGAAACAGAAUCAAUAUAAUUAACUCAUCUAAAUUGCUCUCUGGUACUACUCUCUCACUUUUCCAAUAACUGAAACCCUGCAAAUAUUGAUAUUUAAAUGCUUCAUAAAUAUUUUAAUCCUAAUAUAGUAAUAUAUUUGAAAUCCUGGUAACCACCUCUAUCUUUUUAUUGUAGAUACAUCAUUCCUUGAAUAAGAUUCAUCUUGCCAAGAGAUACUUAUGCCAUCAAUUUUUACAUUUUCUCAAUGACAGCAUUACUUCCCUGCAUUUCCCUCGACGAAUAAAACACAGCACCAGCUCAAUGACAUCUCAUGAAUCUUGCUUUUCCCUAGACCAAGAGGUUUUGGAUAAAUAACAGUGUUAUCACUAUGGUCGAGGUAAGAGAGUAGUCAUUGUUAAUUCGUUGGAUGUUGACAGAUUUUGGUUGCUCAAAAAUUGGUCUGCUUCAAACAAAUCUCUCUCCAUGAAAAAACCAGGUUGCUUAGGAUGCGGCAGCUUCAUAUUACUGCUCAACAUCAGAACUACCUCUGACAUGACUGGCCUGUCCUUUGGAUCUUGUUGAACGCAAAGUAAUCCAAUUUGUAUAACUCGCAAGGCUUCAUAAUGGUUAUUGGGCUCCAAGAUCACUCCAUCAAUGAGUUCCAACAGUUUGCCUUGUUUGUAACUUAUCCAUGCCUAAAAUUUAAUUAUGCAACUUAUCAGUGGUAAGAAGCAUAUAGCAUGAGGAACGUCAUAGACACUUAGGCCCUGCUCUUGAGUUUUUUUAGGAGAGAAAGCAAGUGAAUGUAAGUGAAAGUUUGCAUCCCACUUUUGGAGUGAAAGUUUUGGAGUGAAAUUAUAUUAUAAUUGCAUCCAUUUUCACUUGUUUUCGUCCCUUUAAAAAACUCGGGAGCACAAACAUGAGUGAAAGUUAUAUAACUUUACUUCCUCCUCACUUGCUUUCCUCCCUCUUUAUAACUCGGGAGCAGGGCCUUAGUAUAUUUAUACUCACAUGCCCAAGUAGGUUAAAGCUGUGAUCAGGAUGAUUGAAUAAUCUGUUUUUCAUUCCACUUGCUAUCUCUACUAGCAAAACGCCAAAGCUGUAGACAUCGGAUUUAACAGAAAAUUGUCCAUCAAUAGCAUACUCCGGGGACAUGUAACCACUGCGAGAUGAGAAAAUGGAUAUUAAUUAUAAGUUGUCAAUUGUCAUGCAAAGAAAAAAUUUAAGUGCAAAGUCAUAGGAAUUCUUACUAUGUACCGACAACUCUUAACGUUUUUGCUUCACUUUCAUUUCCUCCGAAACUUCUUGCCAUGCCAAAGUCUGAAAUCUUUGGAUUCAUAUCAUGAUCAAGUAAUAUGUUACUGGCUUUGAGAUCUCUGUGUAUGAUCCUCAGCUUUGAAUCUUGAUGAAGAUAAAGAAGUCCCCUAGCAAUGCCAAUUAUUAUGUUGUAUAGCCUCGGCCAGUCCAUUGUGUUUCUGACGUUACUAUCUAUUCAUGUCAUCAAAUUAGACCAGUUCUCUAUAUAUGGGGACAUACAUGACAAAUCUCAGACAAUUAACAUAAUAUAUAUCCAGGUUGGGUCAUACCAAAAAUGAAUGAAUCUAGACUUUUGUUAGCCAGAUAUUCGUAGAUCAAAAUCCUUUCUCCUUUCUCCGUGCAGCAACCAAGAAGCGUCACUAGAUUUCUGUGUUGAAGUUUGGCAAUACAUGAAACUUCAUUUUUAAACUCAUCUAGUCCUUGACUUGAGUUUCUUGAAAGCCUUUUCACUGCUAUUUCUUGUCCAUCAGUCAAUAUACCCUGAAAAUAGGUUGUAAUGUGUUAUAUAUUUGAAUUGACUCGGUAUAGAUUUAAGAACCCAAUUAUUUGUAUUUCCCUUCCACAGAGCACUUAACAUCUAUAUCUCAUUACCAUUUUAAUUCUAAUAUAGACAAGACGAAUAAUUCUAUGUGUUACACAUGGUAAAAUACACGUUUAUUAGGUAAAUGUAUAUAUGAAUUCGUUUUGUUAUAUGUGGUACAGACACUUCUAUUGUUGCAGAUAAACUUUUCCUACAGUAUAGUGAGACAAUGUUAGCUUGGUGCAAAAAUUGUCUACAUAUAAUCACCUUGUAUACAGGUCCAAAGCCACCCUCUCCGAGUAUCAUAUCUCGUGAGAAGUCACUUGUGGCAUUUGCAAUGCUUUGGAAGUCAAAUAAUGGCAACUCCAGAUCUUCAUUCUCAAUUUUGGUCAAGGCAACACUUUCCAAAUUCAAUUUCAAUUUUUCUGCAGUGAUUCAAUAUGGAACAGAGGGGGAUUAUGAGGUCAUGAUUAAUUUUGCUGAUAAUAAUUGUGAAGGAUCAGCCAUCUAUGAUUUAUAUAAUAUUAUUCACACAGAGAUAUAAUUUAUGUAGAUACUACUUAGUAUAUCUUCCUUCCUUGAGUAACAGUUACUGUAACAGACUAACAGAGACUAGUUUACCUUCUUUCUGCAGCUUUCUCUUCUUGCAUGCUACAAGGAAUAUUCGGCCAAGUAGCACUACUACUAGUACUGAAGCAAUGAGAAUGAACUCUAAUUUCCACUUUACUCUGGAGCUUCGGCUUUUUACUGUGUGAAACAAAUUACACAAAUAUAUUAAACUUACAAAAGAACUGUAAAAAGCAAAGAGUUGUUGGAGUAAAAAGGGGAGGACACAAAAUAUUCGUGAAGGUUGUCUUACCUAAUUCAGACGAUGGCAUUCUUACGUAGAUAUCUUCCCCUUCUACUGUGUAGUCUCUAAUAUCAAUUAGGUCAGAAAACCAUAAGAUACAUCCAUGUCCACCUCUUCUGACAUCUGCAAUUGCAUAAGCUGUACAAGAACAGUUUUUCCGGCAUGAUAUCUCACAUUCUUGAAGGUUCAUUUUCAUGUUAUACCAUGAGUGACGUGUGUCUGGUAACUUCACACCAGAAUAUUUCAUAAAGCCUUCGUCGUUCCCACAAACUAGAUCAGUUUUGCGGAUGCAUCCACCAGACCAAUCAGCUGCUUUCCACUCCUCUUGAAAUUUCGGAAUAAAUCCUCUCAAGCAUUCACAUCUUGGUGUAUUGUUGAUCUUGCAUAUUCCAUAUACACCGCAUAGUCCAUAAUGAUCACAGUCACUGUCCUGCAUAGUAAGGUAAACCAUCCAGAUUUGUUGCUGAUCAUUCCACACAAGAAGUUUUGAAUCUCCGCUUGGAGUCAGUAUGAACCUCAUUAUAGCAGAAGUUGUAUUGAUGAGAUGAAACCUAUAAUAGAUUUCCUUUUCAUUGAAAACAAACACAUCUUUAAAAAUUCCAUUCUGGUUCUUGUUGGGAAGACCACCAAAUUUAUAACCAUUCCAUAGUCCCGUCCUCGUCCAAAUUAACGAAUCUUUUGACACAAAAUAUUGUGGAAAACCAUUAGGAUCAAGUCCAUGUGAAAAACUGCCAACUGAUGGAUCAACGUCACUUCUCCAUGAUGAAAAGAUCCUGUUCAGACCAGUUACCAGGUCUAUCCCAUGUUUCAUGCCAGGUAGCAAAUUGUCUCCGGGGUGAUCAAAGCUCUGCCAUUUAAAAUCUUCUACGCUGUUGAAAUCAGGAUGCCCUUCCCUUAAAACUAAAUUCCCUGUAUCUAAUAGCUGUGCAACAGGAUUCUUCAUUGAUACAGACGUAUUCGAUGACCAUAUUACCCCAGUACUAUUAUCAACCAAUUGCAAUGUAAUUCCCUUGCGAUUGACCUGCACUAAGCCUGAGGUGUUCAUGAGAGGAACAUCUCUAUUAGCAACCCAAACAACAGUCCCUCUGGAUAUUUUCCUGUACCAGAUGCCCAGAUAUCGAUUCGUCGAACUACCUGGGCUGAAAAAUCCAAGUUCAAACUCUCCACCUGCUGAUGUGAUAGUAUCACCAUCUCGAAAACUCUGAUGCAUUCUGAUGGUAUCAACUGCCACGGACCUUGUUAUGGUACAGAUUAAAAUGUAGCAAGCCAAAAUAAUAGUAUUCAACUCCAUUAUCUUGCAAAAUGAAUGUAGUUUGCAUAAUUUAACCACAAUCCAGGUGAACCAAAUACUAUAUAGUACCAACAAUUUUAGUCCUAUCAUUAUAGCCACUUGGAUACCUUAAAUACCUAUCCUAAAAAAUAAAAAAAUACAGGGGCCGGUUGGGUGAGCUUAAGUGCUUUCUGCUUAAAGUAAAAAAAUUGAAGUAUAAGUUAGAAACAAGUUAAGACUUAUAAGUGAUUAAAAUGUUUAGAAAAGAAGUAAAAGCCAUGAAACAAAAGCUAGUGGGCCGUUUAAGUUAGCUUAAAAGAAGUGACUUCUUACUUAAACUAAAGAAGUGAAGUAGAAGUUAGAAGUAAAUAAGUUAAUAAAGUGUUUAGAAAAGAAGUAGAAGUUGUGAGAGAAAAGCUAGCAUUCUCAGCUUCUUAAAAGUGAUUCUUAUAAAAGCCUCAGUAUUCUCGACUUCUUAUAAGUACUUCUAACUUAUAAACCUAGAAGCCGGGUUUUGCCCGUCCAAACACCCAAGCUUGACUUUGAUUAUAAAAGUCGGUUAGCACCUUAAAUCUGAAAAGUUUAGUCUUUGAUUCGUUGUGAUUGUAUUAUUGGUUUCAGACUUUAACAUAAACCUAUUCGUCGUAGUCAGAAGUCAGAGGCUAGGAGGUGCAUCUGUCGGGUCUGAUAUAUAAAUAUUACUAUAUUUGAAUAUGAAAUUAGUGGUUAAAAGCUUGAUUGUGAGUUAAGAAUCUAAGCACCUGAUCACUGGCGGCGUCUCUCAGCUGCCACUGACAUGAAGCCAAAUGCUCAAUUCUUAAUUCCCAGGUCGCAGGUUGCUGUGCAAACUAUAAAUAGUUAAAUACUCUUGGCAUGUAUUGAUAUUUCUGGAUGAUGAAAUAUGGCCGCAUAUUCUACCAGUUCAUGACCCUGCAGGCUGCAGGGCACGGCUGACUUAGAGCAUCUCCAUCCAUCUAAAGCCCUUGGCUAAAAGGUGAGUUGGCUUACUUAAAAUAAAAAAAUUUAGCCAACAGCUCCAAAAACUCAACUCCAACCAUACUCACCUGUUGUCUAUAAAUUUAGCCAUGGAUGGCUAAAUUUGUCGAACCUCUACAGGUCUGUAAGAAAAUCUGUAGAAAGAUUGUACAUCAUUUAUUACCAUAUUGAACUGAUAUAUUCUAUUUUAACAAUUUAAAAUAUUAAUAACAUACUAUUUUUAAAUUAUAGCCAACCAAUAUAGCCAGUACCAUUGAAGCAAAAUGUCUUACAGGUUCAGCAAAUUUUACAUAAUGUCUUACAGCUUCAAUUUAGCCAACGAUUAUAGCCAACGCCGUUGGAGAUGCUCUUAUAUAACAUUUGUAAUUUUAUCAUCUAUAUUUUAAAUUUAAAUAUUUUGGUUAAUUAAUGAUAAAAAAAUUUCAUUAUAACACUUAUAUCAAAAGACCCGUAGAAUAAUAUUGAUCGGUUCAUAAAAUUCGACCGAUCAAUAAAAUUAUUAAUAUUUAAUUUUAAUAAAAUAAUAAUAAUAUUAUAUAGUAUAAUAUAAAUAGAUAGUAUAAAUAUAUGAUAUUACUUUUAAAGUGAUAACAUAGAAUAAUUAAGAAUAACAUUAAUAUAUUUAAUUUUAACAUAUCAUAUGUUAUAUAUUAAUAAUUAUAUAUAAUAAUAAUAUCAUCGGUUUUUUAGUUAGGAAUUACAAAAUAUAAAUCAUUUUAGUUAAAAAAGAUUUUUUUUCUGUCGGUAAUUAAAAAGGAUAAUUGAUUAUAUAAGUAGUCCAUAAUUCGGCCCAAGUACCGACAGACCCAUCAACUUUUAAUGUUCGGCUUUAAUCGUAUAGCUAUUAACCUCGGUUUAGGAAAAAAGAAAAUCAUAGAUUUCUGAACUAUUAACAUUUUAUUGUCUAGACCCUGAACUAAAAAUUCGAUUCUUUGUGUUACUUACCUUUUUGUUUUCUAAUCUAAGUUCUUCCGUUAAAAAGAUUCUAACGACAUUAUAAUCAUAAAGCUAUGGUUCUUGAUGUUCAUACAGAUCAAAGCAAUUUUAAAGGUAUUUGUGAUAUCCAAACUUAAAGUUCAGGUAAUCAAAUUAAAAUCUGAAUCGCCACAGUUAUAUGACACCAAUUUUCACAAACAAAGUUUAAUUUAGUAAAUCAUAAAUUUAGGUUCUUAAAUUCGAUCAAGAAUCCUAAAUUUAUAGUUCAUUUUAGGAUUUUUUUUUUGAAUUAAACCUUCAAAUUUUGUGACGUGAGCUGCUAUAGUAAUUUUGUCCCUUGUUGGCUUUAAAAUUGGGUGGGAAACCAUAAAUCUUGUAGCAUCUAUUAAUACUGUAAUCAAGAAAUUUACAAUGUGUGCAAUAAAAGUGUGAGCUUGCUUUUUAGUUCUUUUGUUGACAGCAUUUGAGAAAGCUUUGGGCUUGAAAUUGUUGGACAUGUUCUGAUAUGUAUUGGUUUUCCUCUAGUUCUUCUGUUGUCGUUAUAUUUCUUCUUACCUGUCAAGAAAGCUAUAGAUUCACUUUCAUAUUGUCAAAAAUUCCUCGUGUCUUUCUUCAUGAACAAAAAGCCGAUGAGCUUAAGAAACACUUGAUAAAAGACUCAUCAUAAAAAUGUUCCUCCUUACUGGAGCAAACUAAUCAUUAAGCUUCAGCAUGAAAAUGUUCUUUUACUGAAAAUGUUGUCUCUGUUGAAUUUUGAUAGACAACUUACAAGCUAUGUUACCUGACUCUUCAUUUUUCUUCGAAUAUCCGUGUCAGACACUCGACACUCCAUUUUUCUUCGAAUAUCUGUGUUGGACCCUCGACGCUCGGGCAAUGGUAUGGACACCGCGACAAUUAUUUUAGGCCAGAAACAUGUAAAAUUUUCAAAAUAUUGCCGAGUCCAUCACUCGCAUAUAUCCAUGUACAACUUAAGCCGUGUCCGGAUAAUAUAGGUUACAAGUGCACUUGUUGCACGUACCGUAUGGUAAUGGAUUUGUGCCAGCAAGACUAUCCCAGAUAGUCAGAAACAGUUAGAUUUCCUUGAAUUAACUCUGAAAGUCGUUUCUGUAAAUCAACUCAUCUUAUUAAAUGAGAGAGAUUGCAACUUGAGUGAAUGAGUACAUGAAUGAAUGAAUACGAGAGAGAGAGAGUUGAGCCUAUUAUAUACAGAGUAGCUAGUAACAGAAAGAUGGCGGUAAAGUUAGUUAGUCUAACUAACUGUACAGCUGUCAUUGCAGACCAGUAAAAUUGCAUUAUAAAAAUAGAUCAAUGUAGGUAAAAUGAUUGAUUAUUCUCGAGGUAGGAGAGUGGUGAUCGUUAAUUGGUUGGAUGAUGACGGAUUUAGGUGGCUUAAAUAUCUUUCCGUGAAAAAACCAGGUUGCUUAGGACGAGGCAGUUUCAUAUCACUGCUUAUCAUUAGAACCACCUGUGACAUGACUGGCCUGUCCUUCGGAUCUUGUUGAACGCAGAGUAAUCCAAUCUGUACAACUCGAAAGACUUCAAAAUGGUUGCUGUGCUCCAAGAUCGUCCUGUCAAUGACUUCCAACAAUUUGUCGUGUUUGUAACUCAUCCAUGCCUAAAAUAUUUUAUGUGAAAUAUCAGUAAAAGACGAGCAUAGAUCACAGGGAAGGUCAUAAUAUAUUCGUACUCACAUGCCCUAGAAGGUUGAAGCUGUGAUCAGGAUGACUGAAUGAUCUGUUUUGCACUCCACUUAUUAUCUCUAUUAGUAAAACUCCAAAACUAUAUACAUCAGAUUUAACAGAAAAUUUUCCAUCAAUAGCGUACUCUGGGGACAUGUAACCACUGCGAGAUAAAAAGAAGUUCUAAUUAAUUAUCAAUUGUGAUCCAAAGAAAACAGUAAAUUGCAGAGUCCUCGUAUACUUACUAUGUCCCAAUGACUCUCGAUGUAUUUGCUUCACUUUCAUUUCCUACAAAAGUUCUUGCAAUGCCAAAGUCUGAAAUCUUUGGAUUCAUAUCAUGAUCAAGUAAAAUGUUACUGGCUUUGAGAUCUCUAUGUAUGAUCCUUAGCUUUGAAUCCUGGUGAAGAUACAGAAGUCCCCGAGCAAUGCCAUUUAUUAUGUUGUAUAGCUUCGGCCAGUCCAAAGUGGUUCUCACGUUAUUAUCUGUUCAUUUUUCAUCAAAUUAGACAGCUUGUCUGUAUAAGAAGACACAAUUGAUAAAUUUCAGAAAAAAAAACUUGACAUAUUCACAGGUUGGAUCAUACCAAAAAUGAAUGAAUCUAGACUUUUGUUUGCCAUAUAUUCGUAGAUCAAUAUCCUUUCAUCUUUCUCUGUGCAGCAACCAAGAAGCGUCACCAGAUUUCUGUGCUGAAGUUUGGCAAUACACGAAACCUCAUUUUUGAACUCAUCUAGUCCUUGACUUGAAUUUCUUGAAAGCCUUUUCACGGCUAUUUCUAGUCCAUCAGUCAGCAUGCCCUGAAAAUAAUAGUUGUGAGGCCAUAUAUCUAGCUAUAUUAUAAUGUUAUCAUUUUCUUAUACUUCCAGAGGGACUCACUGGUAAAUCUGAAUUCCCCCAAGAAAGUUUCUGCUCAGGGGAAUUCGACGAACACCUGAGCUCAAGGUAUUCAAGCCUCUUCUACAACCUGUAAUAUGCAACUUACACUUCCUAGGCCAACUCGUUAGAGUUUGGAUCAAAAUCCUUGGAUUAACUCAAUAUAGUUUGAACAAACUUACUCAUACAGUCAUAUGCUUCUCGGAUUUAGUAAUCUUUGUGAUUCUAUUUUAAACAGUUUAAAUAGCUUGUCUGUUACACAUGGUACUGGCACUACACUUAGAUGUAUAUAUGACAUUAAUUAAUUGCAUAAGUUGUUUGCAUAUAUUAAUGGACAUGUAAUACCUUGUAUACAGGUCCAAAGCCACCCUCUCCAAGUUUGUUGUCCUGGGAGAAGUUACUUGUGGCAUUUGUAAUGCUUUGGAAGUCAAAUGAUGGCAACUCCGGAUCUUCAUUCUCUAUUUUGGUCAGCGCAACAGUUUCCAAAUUCAGUUUCAAGCUUUCUGCAAUGAUUGAAGUGUAACAAAUGCACAGUGAUGAGUGCUGAAAUAGUAUCUACCAAUUUUCUGACUAUUAGUUUUCCUGUUUAAAAUUGGCUAUCAUUUAUUUUCAAAAUUCUAGGAUCUCUUUAUUAUGGUACUAUUAUAUUCACUUGGUCGAAAUUCAAAAUCUUUCUUACUAAUUUUUUGUAGUGAAUAAUUUUACCCUUUUUCUGCAGCUUUUUCUUCUUGUAUACUAGAAAGAAUAUUAGGCCAAGUAGCACUACUGCUAGUACUGCAGCAAUGAAGAUGAACUCUGGCAUCCACUUUACUCUGCGACUUAUAACUGCAUUAGUCAAAAAGAUGAAACUUAUAAAGAAUACACCAUCAAAAGCAAAUAGUUAUGGUACUAAUUUUAUAGAGCAAAGAGUUGUGGUGCAAGAAGUGAAGACACGAAAUAUUCACGAAGCUAGAGUUACCUAAUUCAGAUGAUGGCAUUCUGACAUAUAUAUCCUGUCCAUCUUCAGUAAAAUCUCUAAUAUCAAUUAGGUCAUUAAACCAUAAGAUACAUCCAUGUCCACCUCUUCUGAACUCUGCAAUUGCAUAAGCUGUACAAGAACAGUUUUUCCAGCACACCAUCUCACAUUCCUGAAGGUUCAUUUUCGAGUCAUACCAAGAGUGGCGAGUGUCUGGUAACUUCAAUCCUGAAUAUUUCACAAAACCCUCAUCACUCCCACAAACUAGAUCAGUUUUGCGGAUGCAUCCACUAGACCAAUCGGCUGCCUUCCACUUCUCUGGGAAUUUUGGAACAAAUCCUCUCAAGCAUUCACAUCUUGGUGUACUGUUGAUCUUACAUACUCCAUAUACACCACAUAGUCCAUAACGAUCACAGUCACUGUCCUGCAUACUAAGGUAAACCAUCCAGAUUUUUUGUGGAUCAUUCCACACAAGAAGUUUUGCAUCUCCAGUUGGGGUCAGUACGAACCUCAUAAUAGCAGAAGUUGUAUUUGUAUUGAUGAGAUGAAACUUAUAAUAGAUUUCUUUUUCAUUGAAAACAAACACAUCUUUAAAAAUUCCAUUCGGGUUCCUGUUGGGAAGACCACUAAAUUUGUGACCAUUCCAUGGUCCAAUCCUUGUCCAAAUCAUUGAAUCCUUUAACACAAAAAAUUGUGGAAAGCCAUUUGGAUCAAGUCCACUAGUGAAAUUGCCUAGGGAUGGAUCAACUACACUUGUCCAUGAUGAAAAAAUCCAGUUCAGACCAGUUACCAGGUCUAUUCCAUGCUUCAUGCCAGGUAGAAAAUUGUCUCCAGGGUGAUCAAAGCUCUGCCAUAUAAAAUCUUUUACGCCAUUGAAACUGAGAUGCCCUUCCCUUAAAACUAAAUUCCCUGUAUCUAAUAGCUGUGCAACAGGAUUCCUCAUUGAUACAGACGUAUUCGAUGACCAUAUUAUCCCAGUACUAUUAUCAACCAACUGCAAUGAAAUUCCCUUGUGAUUGACCUGCACUAAUCCUGAGGUAUUCAUAAGAGGAUUAUCUCUAUUAGCAACCCAAACAACAGUCCCUCUGGAUAUUUUCCUGUACCAGAUGCCCAGAUAUCGAUUCGUUGAACUUCCUGGACUGAAAAAUCCAAGUUCAAACUCUCCACCUGCUGAUGUGAUAGUAUCACCAUCUCGAAACGUCUGAUGCAUUCUAAUGAUGUCUACAGCCAUGGAGUUCACUAAGGUAGAGGAUAAAAUGAAGCAAACCAAAAUGGUGGAAGUCAACUCCAUUAUCUUGCACUCUUCUAACUUGCAAAAUGCCAAAAUCUAUUUCUAGUAAUGCAUAACCUGACCCCAACCAAGGAAAAACAAAUUUGUUAGUUAAAAAAUAACAUUUUUGCCUCUGUCAAACUUAUAGCAACUUGGAUUAAAAUAAAAACUAUACUAUUAUCAGUAAUUGAAAGUUGAGUCUCUGAUUAUAAUAAUCAGUUAGCACUUGGAUCUGAUUUGUAGAUUUUAAUAAAAACGAAUUGUGCCGUACUCAGAUGUCAGUUCUUGACCUGUUCACUCUGAUAUAGGAAUAUGAUAUUAGUGAUUAAAUCUUGACUUUGAUCA